rnacentral:hammerhead_ribozyme from 1 species
UUAUUGCUGAAGAGUCCCGCAAUAGGACGAAACGACCGUCCAGUAC